CUACGGGGGGCUGCAGUGAGGAAUCUUGCGCAAUGGGGGAAACCCUGACGCAGCGACGCCGCGUGGGUGAUGAAGGCCUUCGGGUCGUAAAGCCCUGUCGAGAGGGAAGAAUUGCAUUUAGGUUAAUAGCCUAAUUGUUUGACGGUACCUCCAAAGGAAGCACCGGCUAACUCCGUGCCAGCAGCCGCGGUAAUACGGAGGGUGCAAGCGUUGUUCGGAAUCACUGGGCGUAAAGGGCGUGUAGGCGGCUGAGUAAGUCAGGUGUGAAAUCCCUCGGCUCAACCGAGGAAGUGCAUUUGAUACUGCUCAUCUUGAGUACUGGAGAGGGAGAUGGAAUUCCCGGUGUAGAGGUGAAAUUCGUAGAUAUCGGGAGGAACACCAGUGGCGAAGGCGAUCUCCUGGACAGAUACUGACGCUAAGGCGCGAAAGCGUGGGGAGCAAACAGGAUUAGAUACCCGCGUAGUC
rnacentral:rRNA from 1 species